GCCCGCCUGGCGAAAUGGCAUCGCGUCUGACUACGAAUCAGGAGAUUGCAGGUUCGACCCCUGCGGUGGUCA